GAUGAACGCUGGCGGCGUGCCUAAUACAUGCAAGUCGAACGCUGAGGGCAGGAUCUUGCUCUUUCCGGAUGAGUCGCGAACGGGUGAGUAACGCGUGGGUAAUCUGCCUGGUAGCGGGGGAUCACUAUUGGAAACGAUAGCUAAUACCGCAUAACAGUCUAUUUCGCAUGAUAUCUACUUAAAAGGUGCAAUUGCACCACUAACAGAUGGACCUUCGUUGUAUUAGCUAGUUGGUGAGGUAACGGCUCACCAAGGCGAGGUAACAUAGCAGAACUGAGAGGGUGAGCGGCCGCACUGGGAGGGAGACCCGGCCCAGACGCAUACGGGAGGCAGCAGGAGGGAAUCUGGGGCAAGGGACGGAAGUCUGACCGAGCAACGCCGCGGGAGGGAAGAAGGAUGUCGGAUCGGAAAGCUCUGUUGUAAGAGAAGAACGCGUGUGAGAGUGUAAAGUACACACUGUGACGGUAACUGACCAGAAAGGGACGGCUAACUACGUG
rnacentral:rRNA from 1 species